GAGGCGGUUGAGGGCGGGUGGAGGGAGGGGGAUGGUGGUGGAGAGGAAGGUGAUGGUGGAUUUGAUGUGGGAAAGGGAGGUGGUGAUGAGGGGAGGGUGGGUGGUGAGGAGUGGGAUUAGGUCAAUUCCGACGGAAUCGAGGUAGAAGAGUUUUUCUUGAAGGUCCGUGGUUGGGUUUGUGGCGGAGAUAGGNNNNNNNNNNNNNNNNNNNNNNNNNNNNAGGGAGGGAGAUUAGGGAGGUUUUAGAGGACGGUGGAAGUGGGUGGUGGUGCUCCGGUGGAGGACUGUAAGCGUAGGGUUCAAAUCCUUUGCUUCUUAACUCUUCCACCUGUAAAAGAAUCCAUUGUUUUCAUUGCAAACAUAUCUAUAUGCAAUAAUGUAGCUCAAUGUUUGAUUCUACUCAAAUUCAAAUCCAUAAAAUCAACUGGAAACCACAAUAAACUUCAAUAAGUGCUGCAACAAGCAAAAUUGGAGUUAUAUAUAAUCAUCGAUUAUGUAGAUUUGACCUAAAUCGCAAAGUGAGGCAUUUCGUUUUUCGAAUUGAACGUAAUGCUUGUUCUUUAGUGAUUGAAAACAGGCAGUUCUUACUCAAUUAUGGAAAACACAUAAUUAAUCUCAUUUCGUAAAGUAACAAUGAGAAAUAGAAGAUAGGGCAAAACCAGAAAAGCAAACAGCGAGCGAGUUUUUUUUGAAGAUAAUGACCUUUUUUAGACGGAUUGGAUGAAUAGCGUUUAUGUCUGAGGUUGAAGUCGAAGUUGAAAGUGCGGAUGAUCUUAUAUCCCUGCCGCCUUGUUUCGGCGCUGCGGCGGCGGAGGUGGAGGAGGAAGAACAGCAGCGGAUGAAAGUGACAGG
rnacentral:lncRNA from 1 species